UAGAGGCCUCUGCUCUGCCAGCCUGGGAGUCAUCUUCACCCUCAGGCUGGUAGACUCCAGUCUCUUAGGUCAGAAUGGGAUUAGAGACCCGUUCCUGAACCAGUCACACACAGCGGGUGAAACUGCUAUGAUUGGUUUAGACUUAGAGACUGGAAUGGAUGCUGGCCUAGAAGCGAAGACACAUAGAAGCAAUGUGUACCUAGACUGUUGUCCUAAAUGCCAUUUCCUACCAGGAAGGAACCAGAGUCUUUGCAGAAAUGUAUCAUUUCACAUCUGGGCCCCAGAUAGCAGAUGACUGGUAGGAAGAUGAGGCAAGUUUGCGGUCCAUUGUCAUGGAUAGUGGAGACAACACUGGGCCAGAAGUGGUAAGACCUGAAUCCAAGACUCAGCUCUGCCACUUGCUAAAUGGGACUUUGAAUAAACCAUUUCUCUGCACUUAAGUUCCUUACCAACAAAACGAGGGAAGUGGCCUACAUGCCUAGAUAUCAACAUUUCAUGUCACGUAGAGAUCUAGCAUCACAAGAAUCCAAGUCAUCCUCUGUUGCCUUUAAGGU
rnacentral:lncRNA from 1 species